AUUCAGAAGCCCAGGCUGCUUCCAGCUGUGGAGGUAGAGUAUAGCCAUCAUGACUAGCAGCCAUUGACAGCCUCCUCCACCAUGAAUUUGUCAACCCUCUUUUAAAGCCAUCCUGCUUGGCGGCCAUCAGUGCCUCUGGGGGGAGUGAGUUCUAUAGUUGGACCAUGUGCUGCAUUUAUAGGUACUUUCUAUUAUCUGUCCUAAAUUUUUCAACAUUCAGCUUCAUUGGAUGGCCACAGGUUCUAGUGUUAUGAGGGUGAGAAACUUUCUCUAGUGUUUUUCUCCAUGCCUUGCAUAAUUUUAUAAAUUUCUACCAUGUCACCUAUUACUUGCUAUUUCUCCAAGCUAAAAAGUCUCAAGCGUACAACCUUUCUUCACAGAGGAGUCAGCCCCUUGAUUAGUUUAGUUGCCCCUUUCUGAACCUUUGCCAUCUCUAAAAUAUCCUCUAAGAGAUGAGGGGAUCAGAACUGUACACCAAAUAUAUUUGCAUAACAGCAUUAUCCCAGUAGUGAUAUAUGGAAGUGAGAGCUGGACCAUAAAGAAGGCUGAUCACCGAAGAAUUGAUGCUUUUGAAUUCUGGUGCUGGAGGAGACUCUUGAGAGUCCCAUGGACUGCAAGAAGAUCAAACCUAUCCAUUCUUAAGGAAAUCAGCCCUGAGGGCUCACUGGAAGGACAGAUCCUGAAGCUGAGGCUCCAAUACUUUGGCCACCUCAUGAGAAGAGAAGACUCCCUGGAAAAGACCCUGAUGUUGGGAAAGAUUGAGGGCACAAGUAGAAGGGGAUGACAGAGGACGAGAUGGUUGGAUAGUGUUCUCGAAGCUACCAGCAUGAGUUUGACCAAACUGUGGGAGGCAGUGGAAGACAGGAGUGCCUGGCAUGCUCUGGUCCAUGGGGUCACGAAGAGUCGGACACGACUAAACGACUAAACAACAACAACAACAACAACAACAAUUAUUAUAUUGACAUUUUUAUUUUUCUUUCCUUUCCUAAUGAUGCCUAGAAUAGAAUUUGGCUUUGUCAUGACCACCACACACUGGGUUGACAUCUUCAUUGAGCUAUAUACUAUGACCCCAAGAUCUCACUCCUGGUCCGACACCACCAGUUCAGACCCCAUGAGCAUGUAUGUAAAAUUAAGAUCUUUUUGCUACAACAUGCAUUCACUUUAUUCUUGUUUACACUGAAUUGCAUUUGCCAUUUUAUUGCCUAUUCACUCAGUUUGGAGAGGUCCUUUUGGAGCUCUUCGCAAUCUUUUUUUACUUUAACAAUCCUGAACAAUUUAGGUCAUCUGCAAACUUGGCCACCUCACUGCCUGCUCCUAACUCAAUAUUAUUUGCAAAUAAGUUAAAAA